rnacentral:tRNA from 1 species
GCGGGAGUGGUUCAGUGGUAGAACGUCGGCUUCCCAAGCCGAAAGUGAGGGUUCGAUUCCCUUCUCCCGCUCCA